rnacentral:rRNA from 1 species
UACGAGGGGGGCAAGCGUUGUUCGGAAUCACUGGGCGUAAAGCGCACGUAGGCGGCUUCUUAAGUCAGGGGUGAAAUCCUGGAGCUCAACUCCAGAACUGCCUUUGAUACUGAGGAGCUCGAGUCCGGAAGAGGUGAGUGGAACUGCGAGUGUAGAGGUGAAAUUCGUAGAUAUUCGCAAGAACACCAGUGGCGAAGGCGGCUCACUGGCCCGAUACUGACGCUGAGGCACGAAAGCGUGGGGAGCAAACAGGG